AGAAGCCAUCUGUCUGUUAUUCACGUCCAAAGGAGGAAACAGCCCAUGAUGACCUUGAAAAUUCCAUAGAAUCUGCUCCUACAAAAGUCUGUGUGCCACUCAUGCACUCUCCCGAGACUCCAAGGCAACCCGCUAAGCAGCAAGAAUGCAUGAAUACUCUGACAAAUCUAAUUACAGGACAGCUGCUUACUGAUCAGAAAAUUUUAGUGGCGGUAACAGACAGUGCACCUGCACAGCCCAUCAAAUUCAAAGAAAUGCCAGAUGAGUCAUGCAAACAGGCAAAGAUCUAUAUGGAAAAGAGGAAGCUUAUUGACAGCCAAGUUCCUCGUAGAAAAUUUCAGCCAGUGCAGAAACUAUGGGUGUUAAAUACACGAUUUAAGUCAGCUCGAUGGAGAAAUAAACAUAGCUGUUAAAUACACGAUUUAAGUCAGCUCGAUGGAGAAAUAAACAUAGCUGGAAAGGAACCUAUAUCUUUACAAAGAUUCAUUCAAAAAGAAAGGCGUAUAAGAAGAAUUCAACCAUUAAAUUUGGAAGCACAGUGCUCUAUGACGUUAUUAAAGAGUGGUUAACUUUGAAAGAACAAGUGACAUGAUCAACAAUUCUUUCCGCUACGUCUAGCUAUAGACUUUAACUAAAGCGCUAAUUGGGAGGCAACCCAAUUUUUCUAACUCUUUUCUUCUUAUUUCGUUUAUUUUAUUUUCCUGUUUUUAUUCCUAAUUACAAAAAUCACAAAAAUAAAAAAAUCAGAAAAUUGAAAAAAAAAUUGCAGUUUUUAAUUCUUGUUAUUUUUCUUUACUUAUCUAAUUUGGUUUUUUAUUGCAGGUUGCAUUCAGAACUGAUUCGGCCUAAUCCCAACUAAGGGGGUGCAAUCAACAUUUAUUCCCCCAGCACAUUCAUCAUCAAUUCCUCUACAUUCAUGAGAUUAGGCAGUGCGGAGUGCAGAAACAAAGUUGAGGGAUCUAAGUGGCACAGAGAAUAAGACAUGAUGAAUUUAUAGAUCUCUUCAUGCAUGACGAACAAGCCAAUUCAACAUACUGAGGCACUGAGACCAUAUACACAUUUUUAUUCACAUAUUCUUAUCAAACAUAGUUGCAAGGAUAUAGAAGCAUACCUUUUCAAUGAGGAUCUGUGAGUCUCGAUUUUUCCAUGGAAACACACAUGCAUUGGGCAAUUUUCAUUCAUUUUUCCCUAAUCUAAGCACUUGAGACAAAAAUCGAAGGGAGAUGGAGAUAAAAA
rnacentral:lncRNA from 1 species